rnacentral:rRNA from 1 species
GAUGAACGCUAGCGGCAGGCCUAAUACAUGCAAGUCGGACGGGAUUCAGGAGCUUGCUUCUGAUGAGAGUGGCGCACGGGUGCGUAACACGUAUGUAACCUACCUUUAUCAGGGGGAUAGCCUCUCGAAAGAGAGAUUAAGCCCGCAUAAAAUCACAGCACAGCAUUGUGUAAUGAUCAAAUAUUUAUAGGAUAAAGAUGGGCAUGCGGAACAUUAGCUAGAUGGCGGGGUAACGGCCCACCAUGGCGACGAUGUUUAGGGGAUCUGAGAGGAUGGCCCCCCACACUGGUACUGAGACACGGACCAGACUCCUACGGGAGGCAGCAGUAAGGAAUAUUGGUCAAUGGGCGGGAGCCUGAACCAGCCAUGCCGCGUGCAGGAAGACGGCCCUACGGGUUGUAAACUGCUUUUAUACGGGAAUAAACCCAGAUACGUGUAUCUGGCUGAAUGUACUGUAAGAAUAAGGAUCGGCUAACUCCGUG